UGGUGGAGUGAUUUGUCUGGUUAAUUCCGAUAACGAACGAGACUCUAUUCUGCUAAAUAGUACACUGUUCUUGGCAUUCUAUGUCUCAGACGGUGCUGACUUCUUAGAGAGAUAAGCGAUAUUUAAAUCGCAAGAAAGAGAGCAAUAACA
rnacentral:rRNA from 1 species